GAUGAACGCUGGCGGCGUGCUUAACACAUGCAAGUCGAACGGUGAACACGGAGCUUGCUCUGUGGGGUCAGUGGCGAACGGGUGAGUAACACGUGAGCAACCUGCCCCUGACUCUGGGAUAAGCGCUGGAAACGGCGUCUAAUACUGGAUAUGUGACGUGACCGCAUGGUCUGCGUUUGGAAAGAUUUUUCGGUUGGGGAUGGGCUCGCGGCCUAUCAGCUUGUUGGUGAGGUAAUGGCUCACCAAGGCGUCGACGGGUAGCCGGCCUGAGAGGGUGACCGGCCACACUGGGAUUGAGACACGGCCCAGACUCCUACGGGAGGCAGCAGUGGGGAAUAUUGCACAAUGGGCGAAAGCCUGAUGCAGCAACGCCGCGUGAGGGAUGACGGCCUUCGGGUUGUAAACCUUUUUUAGCAGGGAAGAAGCGAAAGUGACGGUACCUGCAGAAAAAGCGCCGGCUAACUACGUG
rnacentral:rRNA from 1 species